UACUAUGAAAGUGGAAAGAAGUUGGAACAU
rnacentral:piRNA from 1 species